UUUCCCUAUCCCAAACCAGAAAGCAAGUAAAACUUGGUAAAAAGCAAAUACCCACAAUCUGUUUCAGCUUGCUCUCUCUCUCUCUCUGAUGGUGAUACCCGUUUACUCUUUCUGGUUUUAUUUUAGUGGUGGUGUUGUUUCCUUUUCGAUCUGGCUGCUCUGACUGGUUUCAUUUGGCCGCGAUUCCAAACUUGGAGUAAAUGAUAAAACAAAAGGCUUUUGUUUUGCCACCAAAACUCGGAAAUUCAACAUCAAAUUUCUCUAGAAGUUCUCCGAGGAUCAAUAUGCAUGCAGAAUUUAUUUUGCUGGCCUCAAUGUUAUUCUAUCAUGGACCAAGGAAGAGUCACAACACCUAGUAUAUUGGGAUUCUCGGUGUAUUUAAAAUUCAAAUCAAGGUUAACUGAAGAAGGCUUAUAAAGGAACUGCUAUAAUGAGUCAUCCAAGUCCAACAAAUGUAAAGAUCCUGAUUUUUGUUGAAUAUUAUGCUAUAGGCUAUGCGUCACUUAUUCUAUCACGUAAAAGCUUCUGGAUUUGGUAGUAUGUUGUGUGUAUUAAUGCAUUGUUUUUGAUGUAUAAAUCACUACAGUCACCUACUCUGAAUGCUUAAACUAGUUGAUGUUGAGCAGUCCAGAGUGCCGAUAUGGCACCGUGUUUCAAUUAUCCUCCAAGGUUUGAAUGUUCUCUCCAUCAAUAGGGGGAUUCAAGUAAUCAACUUGUGGAUGUUGUUCAACAUACAGAGCUUUUUACUGACUUCUACUCUCAG